CUGUAUGUUGUUCAGCAUUUCCCUCAACUAAAGUAUGAAUUUUAAGCAAUUAGGUGAUGUAAUAAAUGUGUGUAAUAGAAUCCAUAUGUUUAAAAGAGGAAGUGGUGACGGUAUUAACCUACAG
rnacentral:pre_miRNA from 1 species